rnacentral:rRNA from 1 species
ACGGCUCGUAAAGCUCUGUUGUUGGAGAAGAACGUGCGUGAGAGUAACUGUUCACGCAGUGACGGUAUCCAACCAAGAAAGUCACGGCUAACUACGUGCC